UACAGAGGGGGCGAGCGUUGUUCGGAAUUACUGGGCGUAAAGGGCGCGUAGGCGGCCUUCUAAGUCGAACGUGAAAUCCCCGGGCUCAACCCGGGAACUGCGUCCGAUACUGGGAGGCUUGAAUCCGGGAGAGGGAUGUGGAAUUCCAGGUGUAGCGGUGAAAUGCGUAGAUAUCUGGAGGAACACCGGUGGCGAAGGCGGCAUCCUGGACUGGUAUUGACGCUGAGGCGCGAAAGCCAGGGGAGCAAAGCGGG
rnacentral:rRNA from 1 species